rnacentral:rRNA from 1 species
CGUAGACUCCUACGGGAGGCAGCAGUGGGGAAUAUUGCACAAUGGGCGCAAGCCUGAUGCAGCCAUGCCGCGUGUGUGAAGAAGGCCUUCGGGUUGUAAAGCACUUUCAGUUGUGAGGAAAGGUUAGUCGCUAAUAUCGGCUAGCUGUGACGUUAGCAACAGAAGAAGCACCGGCUAACUCCGUGCCAGAGCCGCGGGUAAUACGGAGGGUGCGAGCGUUAAUCGGAAUUACUGGGCGUAAAGCGCGUGUAGGUGGCUUGUUAAGCCAGAUGUGAAAGCCCCGGGCUCAACCUGGGAACUGCAUUUGGAACUGGCAGGCUAGAGUUUUGUAGAGGGUGGUAGAAUUUCAGGUGUAGCGGUGAAAUGCGUAGAGAUCUGAAGGAAUACCGGUGGCGAAGGCGACCACCUGGCCAAUAACUGACACUGAGACGCGAAGGCGUGGGUAGCAAACGGGAUUAGAUACCCUGGUAG